GCUCCAAAUCGCGGCUCUUUCUUUUUCCAUAGCUGCAGUUUGACCUGGGGCAAGCCCUCUAGCAUGGGUUCCUCGGCUGGAAGAUAGGCUGUGUGAGGCCGAAAUGCAACAAGAAGUGUAGCAAGACGCCUAGCACAGGAUGCAGACCCACAUAUGGGAGCUAUUAUUAGCUUCUCCCUGCAGGCGGAAGCGGAAUUGCACGCGGAGUGCAGGCUCGCUGGGAACCAGAGCGGAGGAGGUGGGUGAGAUAUGGAAUAAGCAGAAGAAAAAAAAAAACUUGGUUUGCAUCUGGGUGGAAGCUAUUAAAGAUCAAACCACGGCAAGAAAUACUUUCUGCUGCUGCGUGGAAAAGCUUAUGUGAACAAGAGCGCCAUGGAGGAACAGAGUGAAUGCAGUUGGGGAAGGAAAUCCGGUGAUUGUAGAUGGAGAACACUUGGCAAGACAAGGAAUGGUUAGGGGUUGUUUAAAAAAAAGGAUUUUGUUUUUACUGCCAAAUUUAUGGCUCAAUUCUGAUUCGUAUCAGUGGGAUUUGUAAGCUGUCCUUUGACUGGGGUUUGGCAGUUUGGUACAUAUUGGUGGUCUUAAUCCAGUAUCUGGACCAGAAAGCAAAUGUUUUCAUCUUUGGAAUCCCCGUUACAAUUGAAAAUUUUCCAAGGAGACAGUGGAAGCCAGAUGGGAAUGUGGCAUGCAUUGCCCUGUUAGCACAAAGUCCUCAGUUGGUGCCGUGUUGCUUUGUGCUUUCUUCUUUCCUUCCUGAACACUCACAGAGUGCCUACUGUGUGCCCAGCCUGAUGAGACUCCAGAACACUAGAUGCUGGGGAUUUAGAGCAGUGAAUCCAACAGACCACAUCUUUGCUUCAUGGAGUUUGCAUUCAAAUGAUCCGCCAUAUGUGCCCCUAAGAUCCUACCCACCUGAUCGUGGAGGAGUCCUGUGAUGGUCUUGGUUUUACAGAGGAGCUCUCCUGUCCCAGAAAAUGGUUUGGUUGUUUCUUAGAAGAACUCCUCUAAAGACCCAUCAACUCUUGAUGAAAAGGACACAGUAAUCCAUGCGCUAAGAUUCUUCAAAUCCCUCGCCUCUAAGUCCUCACCUUGCUGUUUGUAUCAAUCCUGGACUCAUGCCUCCUAGCCAAGCUCCCACAUUGAUAGGCCCACCUUAAACCAAGCUUCCAAUUCUCA